rnacentral:rRNA from 1 species
GAUAAACGCUGGCGGCGCACAUAAGACAUGCAAGUUGAACGGACUUAAUCGAAAUAUUUAUAUUUUGAAGCGGUUAGUGGCGGACUGGUGAGUAACGCGUAAGGAACCUGCCUAUUAGAGGGGAAUAACAGUGAGAAAUCAUUGCUAAUACCGCAUAUGCCAUAGAUAUCACAUGAUAACAGUGGGAAAGGAGCAAUCCGCUAAUAGAUGGCCUUGCGUCUGAUUAGAUAGUUGGUGGGGUAACGGCCUACCAAGUCGACGAUCAGUAGCCGGACUGAGAGGUUGAACGGCCACAUUGGGACUGAGAUACGGCCCAGACUCCUACGGGAGGCAGCAGUCGGGAAUAUUGAGCAAUGGAGGAAACUCUGACGCAGUGACGCCGCGUAUAGGAAGAAGGUUUUCGGAUUGUAAACUAUUGUCGUUAGGGAAGAGAAAGGACAGUACCUAAGGAGGAAGCUCCGGCUAACUACGU